GGAGGGUGCAAGCGUUAAUCGGAAUUACUGGGCGUAAAGCGCACGCAGGCGGUUGGAUAAGUUAGAUGUGAAAGCCCCGGGCUCAACCUGGGAAUUGCAUUUAAAACUGUCCAGCUAGAGUCUUGUAGAGGGGGGUAGAAUUCCAGGUGUAGCGGUGAAGUGCGUAGAGAUCUGGAGGAAUACCGGUGGCGAAGGCGGCCCCCUGGACAAAGACUGACGCUCAGGUGCGAAAGCGUGGGGAGCAAACAGGAUUAGAUACCCUGGUAGUCCACGCCGUAAACGAUGUCGAUUUGGAGGCUGUGUCCUUGAGACGUGGCUUCCGGAGCUAACGCGUUAAAUCGACCGCCUGAGGAGUACGGCCGCAAGGUUA
rnacentral:rRNA from 1 species